AUGGGAGGUUCAAGCACCUCCCCAAAGCACAAUGCUGAAAACUAUUGGUGGGAUGCAACUACAGAACAAACAAACCUCUUGUCUGCAAGGGGAAUCAUCAAAGCCUCACUGAAAUGCAGUUUUGAUGGCUUUCUCUCUCGAAACAAGAAGCAAUUUGUUUUCCUCAGAACGCUGCAUGUGAUUUUCUUUCCAGAGCACCGACGCUGCAGUGACGGAGAGAGGGGGCCAUGCCACAACAUGUGCUGGGUGAAACAGGUGAGAAGUCUGCUCAGCGUGACUGGCAAUAUGAGAUGGAGUCUGGAUGGUAACUAAAUAUGUGAUCAGUGCAGCGAAAAAAGGGUAAAUACCUCGCGGCUUGAUGAAUUGCCGACUUGUUGCACCUGAUUUUGAAAGGAACCUGUCACUUGCCGGUGUCGUCUAACCAUUUUUUCUUUUUUCGCCAGAGGAGAUUCAAAGCAAGUCACGGACUGUGACACACGUGUCCUUGGAGGAAGACACGUAAACCUGCUGAGACUAUUUCAACUCUCAGCUCAAUUUGACCUAAACCUCUCCUGUGCAGCUGUAGAGGCUGAACUGAAUGGGAAAAACUAACCUUGAGCUUCACAUGCAGCAUAUAAUAAGUUUAAAUAAAUGUUCUGAAUUAAAAAGAAGCAUUCACUGCGGACAAUGACGGGUUAGACGCAGGUCAAAUGAGAGGGAGGAUUGGAGGUAUUUUGAAGCUUUAAUCCAUUUGUAGAAAGGGUUUAAACUCAGCAUCAAGAACAAUUUAACUGCAGGACUUUUUUCACAUGAUAUAUAUUAAAACGAUUGAUGGCCAUGUUUGUAAAUACCCAUUGUGUUCAGUCCGCUGUGACAUCACUCUUAGAUACUGUGUACAUGUUUUAAUUUUUUUUUUCUGUUUUUGGUGAAUAUCCUGUUAUGACCCUGACGGCCACAACCCAAAAUGCAUCAGUGUCGCCGCAAAGUUGCUCUUAAUAGUACAAGAGUUUCCAGAGUUCGACCCCUUCUGUUUUCUCUUUUCCACGCACUUUUUCAUUAAGUGAAGUUGUGCCAGAAACUUCUACUUCACUAUUAAUGGGCUGCAACACAUAAUCAAGCGAGAUGCAAUUAUAGUGUAAUUAUAUAUUAAAAACUGUGUGCUGGUUGCAUCAUCAGCCACAUGAAGGACUCCUCAGCCAGUGUGCAGUUUGUUCUGAUUGCAGUGCCUCACUUUAAAUCCAGAAAAUUCAGGUCACAUUUGUUCAUCAGCUUUCACCAACGGACCAAACACCAACUGUCACUAUCUGCAACCAUAAGCUUGAAACAGAAAAUAAAAGGGAGCGAGCGCGCAUCAAAGCCUGGUUUGCUGCGGCUGGCUGGAACUGAGUCUCGGGUAAAGACGCCAAGUGUGACAUGAGGAAAAAACUG
rnacentral:lncRNA from 1 species